UACGUAGGGGGCAAGCGUUGUCCGGAUUUAUUGGGCGUAAAGAGCGUGUAGGCGGCUAGGUAGGUCCGUUGUGAAAACUCGAGGCUCAACCUCAAGACGUCGAUGGAAACCAUCUAGCUAGAGUCCGGAAGAGGAGAAUGGAAUUCCUGGUGUAGCGGUGAAAUGCGCAGAUAUCAGGAAGAACACCCGUGGCUAAGGCGGUUCUCUAGUACGGUACUGACGCUGAGACGCGAAAGCGUGGGGAGCGAACAGG
rnacentral:rRNA from 1 species